AACCAUGUGCACUCCUAAUGACAUUGGUGGCUUUGUUGUCUUCACAUUCGAAGAGUUUAUUAACGGAGCAAAUGGCAGAAGUCGAAGUAAAAUAAUGGCAAACAGGUGGAAAUGUAUUGUCAUCGUCGAAGAAGCAUCCAGAAACCAUCCAAUUAUCAUCGGUUAUGCUUUCUCAAAGAGUUCUUUCUCGAAAUAAAUCCAAAUGGGACUAACAAUAAAUGGAUUCUGCAGGGUAUUCGUUUAAAUAGCCAACAACGCAAAAAAAUACCUACAAUCAAUCUUUCGAAGUUUACAUUCUUUUUCGAUGCCGAAUACACCAAUAACCUGUUCAACUGAACGUCAAGCGCAAAGCAGGCCAUGGAACAUGGAAUGCAAUCCAACAAACCGGAUACUGCUAAAGUUUUAAGUUUUAUUUAUCAUUUGCAACGAUUUUUGCCACAUUUAUAUAUGUUUGUUCCAUGAGACUGCAUCACCACCAAUAUAGGAUCUGGACAUUUGAGCUUAUUGAGUUUAACAAGUUUAAACACGUCGAAAGAUUUAUUUUAUUUUUUUAUUUUGCGAAAUUUUAAUCCAGAAAAACCAUCAGUUGGUCAUCAUCAAUACGCAAUAAGUUUUAUGUUAAAUCUUUGUAAGAUGGAAAAGGAAAAGUGCCCACUUUUACUAACAUUAUCGAAACAA